GAUGAACGCUAGCGGCAGGCCUAAUACAUGCAAGUCGGACGGGAUUCGGGAGCUUGCUCCUGAUGAGGGUGGCGCACGGGUGCGUAACACGUAUGCAACCUACCUUUACCAGGGGGAUAGCCUCUCGAAAGAGAGAUUAACACCGCAUAAGAUUAGUUUAUGGCAUCAUAAAUUGAUCAAAUAUUUAUAGGGUAAAGAUGGGCAUGCGGAACAUUAGCUAGUUGGUAAGGUAACGGCUUACCAAGGCGACGAUGAUUAGGGGAUCUGAGAGGAGGCCCCCCCACACUGGGACUGAGACACGGACCAGACUCCUACGGGAGGCAGCAGUACGGAAUAUUGGUCAAUGGGCGCAAGCUUGAACCAGCCAUGCCGCGUGCAGGAAGACCGCCCUACGGGUUGUAAACUGCUUUUGUACGGGAAUAAACCCUGAUACGUGUAUCAGGCUGAAUGUACCGUAAGAAUAAGGAUCGGCUAACUCCGUGCCAGCAGCCGCCGUAA
rnacentral:rRNA from 1 species